UACGGGGGGUGCAAGCGUUAAUCGGAAUUACUGGGCGUAAAGCGUGCGCAGGCGGUUUUGUAAGACAGGCGUGAAAUCCCCGGGCUCAACCUGGGAAUGGCGCUUGUGACUGCAAGGCUGGAGUGCGGCAGAGGGGGAUGGAAUUCCGCGUGUAGCAGUGAAAUGCGUAGAUAUGCGGAGGAACACCGAUGGCGAAGGCAAUCCCCUGGGCCUGCACUGACGCUCAUGAACGAAAGCGUGGGGAGCAAACAGG
rnacentral:rRNA from 1 species